rnacentral:hammerhead_ribozyme from 1 species
GCAUCGCUGAAGAGUUCCACAAUAGGACGAAAUGGCCGUCCAGUGC